AAAGGCAGAUCUUUGUGUCACGGUUUGUUGUGAUGUCUCAAAUUUACAGGUCAGSGUGCUUUGUGAAACGCACUUUAUUUUUAUGAGCUGAUUAACUAAAAGCAACAAAAAAGCAAAGAAAGGGUUAAUCCUUUCUCUGUAGGCUAGGCUACAUUAUUAAUUCUCUAGUUACUUAAUUCAUUAGUUUGCUGAUUCGUUAACUUGAUAAUUCAUUAGUUCAUGUGCUUAUGAGCAACACAGUUACCUAGGCAACGGCGAGGAUGCUUGUGCUCCCUCCUGCAUCCCGUUGUGGGCACCUCCUGAAUUGGACCGGGAUGCCCCGAAGCCUCAGCAGUCCGGCUGCUGCUGGAUCCUCUUCAAAGGCUGUUUGGCUCAGUUCCCUUCGAAGCUCGCCACCCUGCAGAGAGGCCUCUUGGAGGAUUUGUGUUCGAAGGAACUUUGCCCCGGGAAGGACAGUGAAUUGCUGGCACAGACUUGCCUGUGUCUCCUGCCUGAUGCAGUGUGACAGCCCGCAGCCUAGACCCAACUCUGCAGGCACGGCUUCAGGUUGUUCUUCAGCCACUGUAGCUCCAGGGGAGCCCUGAAAGCAGGAGUUCCCCUCCCCUGUGACCCUCUUCAUCUUCCCAGGGCUUGUUUUCAGGCAGAAAUCCCUCUCAGCACAGACCUGCCUGGCCUGUCACAGGUGGGGAACACAGGACUGCAGAUGAAGGGCCACGUGCUGUGGCAGCAAGGUUUUCCAUCCCCCUCAGCUGACUGUGACACCACCCCCUCAUCUCCCUUCCCAACCACCCGAAAAAGGGGAAUGAGCUUCACUCCAGUGCUGAGGUUCGGCAGGUAGACUCGUUUCCUAUCACACUCCUAGAAGACACCCAAGACCCCUGCCCAGUGGYUGUACUGCAGAGCCAGGUCGUAGCCUCUUCAUGCUGCCCUCUCCCAUUGUGCCUCUGUCAAAGUCCGCAUGAAAUUAUACCCCUGAGCUGCAUGUUUGUGAGGGGGCCGCUAAUGCCAUGAAUUAGUUACAAAGGAUAAAGAAAUCAUUGCCUGACGACUUCUGAAGAGAAGGGAAGAGUGUCUUUUCUGUUCUUCUUCUCCAUUUCCUGCUUUCCCUAGAGCAGGAGAGCAGAAAAUGGGUAACUUUCAUCCUGGCUCCUUUUCUUCAGUUCUCUGUUUUCUGCACCUUUGCAAUUCGCCCUGCUCUCCCCGCUUACCUCUUUCCUUUGCAGCCUUUUCAGGUGACAAAAUCUUGCAAGAGGCAGCCCAGCCUGAAGCAGACCCCCACCAGGAACAAGACCAAGCAAGGGAGAAAACCUCUUUCUUGCGCUCAGCUUCUGAUGUCCCCAGCUGUCCCUUGGCAUACGCAGGUUUAAAGUCAAGACAUAGGUGGUGUGAAAUACAGAAGUAACACCAGAGGCGAAAUCGUUGCUUGUGCACUUUCGGACAUAAUCACGACACACAAGCUAUUGCAAUGUGACAAGCAGAGAAGGGGUAAGCAAGUUAGCCGUAGUUGGCAAAGGAGUAUCAGGGGACAUGAAAGCCACAGGAGUUCCAGUAUCCUAAAUGCAGAGUUCAAUCAAGAGUCCCAGA
ensembl:lncRNA